rnacentral:rRNA from 1 species
AAACGUAGGGGGCGAGCGUUGUCCGGAAUUACUGGGCGUAAAGCGCGUGUAGGCGGAAACUUAAGUCAGGUGUGAAAACUCGGGGCUCAACCCCGAACCGGCAUCUGAAACUGGGUUUCUUGAGGAUGGGAGAGGAAAGUGGAAUUCCUAGUGUAGCGGUGAAAUGCGUAGAUAUUAGGAGGAACACCAGUGGCGAAGGCGGCUUUCUGGACCAUACCUGACGCUGAGACGCGAAAGCGUGGGGAGCAAACAGGAUUAGAUACCCUGGUAGUCCACGCCGUAGACGAUGGGUACUAGGUGUAGGAGGUAUCGACCCCUUCUGUGCCGCAGCUAACGCAUUAAGUACCCCGCCUGGGGAGUACGGCCGCAAGGUUGAA